rnacentral:tRNA from 1 species
GCCGAAGUGGCGGAACAGGCAGACGCGACGGUCUCAAACACCGUUGGAGAUAGCUCCAUGUGGGUUCGAGUCCCACCUUCGGCA